UACGUAGGGUGCGAGCGUUAAUCGGAAUUACUGGGCGUAAAGCGUGCGCAGGCGGUGAUGUAAGACAGUUGUGAAAUCCCCGGGCUCAACCUGGGAAUUGCAUCUGUGACUGCAUCGCUAGAGUACGGUAGAGGGGGAUGGAAUUCCGCGUGUAGCAGUGAAAUGCGUAGAUAUGCGGAGGAACACCGAUGGCGAAGGCAAUCCCCUGGACCUGUACUGACGCUCAUGCACGAAAGCGUGGGGAGCAAACAGG
rnacentral:rRNA from 1 species